rnacentral:misc_RNA from 1 species
ACUGGAAGUAUCCCAUAUAGCAUACUUAACUGCACCUUGUUGAAUAUGUUGGAUGUGAGUGAUAAUCAUCUCUUUGGUAGCAUUCCUGGUUGGAUAAGGAAUAUGACUUUUCUUCAAGUCUUGGAUCUAUCAGAGAACAAGUUCUCUGGAACCCUACCAUCUAGCUUUGUCCCUCCACAGAUCAGAGAAGUUUAUUUAUCAAAUAAUAGGCUACAAGGACCACUGACAAAUGCAUUUUACAAUUGUUCUGAAUUAAUGACAUUGGAUCUUAGUCGCAACUAUUUCACUAGAAGGAUUCCAGAUUGGAUUGGCAAGUUUCCAAAAUUGAGCUAUCUUCUUUUGGGUUAUAACAAUCUUGUAGGUGAAAUACCAAUUCAGUUGUG